UACGUAGGGUGCAAGCAUUAAUCGGAAUUAUUGGGCGUAAAGGGCGCGCAGGCGGAGGUGCCAGUCAGAUGUGAAAUCCCGGGGCUCAACCCCGGAACAGCAUUUGAAACUACAUCUCUAGAGGGUAGACGGAGAAGACGGAAUUCCACAAGUAGCGGUGAAGUGCGUAGAUAUGUGGAAGAACACCAGUGGCGAAGGCGGUUUUCUAGUUUAUACCUGACGCUGAGGCGCGAAAGCAAGGGGAGCAAACAGG
rnacentral:rRNA from 1 species